UACGUAGGGUGCGAGCGUUGUCCGGAAUUAUUGGGCGUAAGGAGCUCGUAGGCGGUGUGUCGCGUCGGCCGUGAAAACCUGGGGCUUAACUCUGGGCGUGCGGUCGAUACGGGCAUCACUGGAGUUCGGCAGGGGAGACUGGAAUUCCUGGUGUAGCGGUGAAAUGCGCAGAUAUCAGGAGGAACACCGGUGGCGAAGGCGGGUCUCUGGGCCGAUACUGACGCUGAGGAGCGAAAGCAUGGGUAGCGAACAGG
rnacentral:rRNA from 1 species